rnacentral:rRNA from 1 species
GACGAACGCUGGCGGCGUGCCUAAUACAUGCAAGUCGAACGAACUCUGGUAUUGAUUGGUGCUUGCAUCAUGAUUUACAUUUGAGUGAGUGGCGAACUGGUGAGUAACACGUGGGAAACCUGCCCAGAAGCGGGGGAUAACACCUGGAAACAGAUGCUAAUACCGCAUAACAACUUGGACCGCAUGGUCCGAGUUUGAAAGAUGGCUUCGGCUAUCACUUUUGGAUGGUCCCGCGGCGUAUUAGCUAGAUGGUGGGGUAACGGCUCACCAUGGCAAUGAUACGUAGCCGACCUGAGAGGGUAAUCGGCCACAUUGGGACUGAGACACGGCCCAAACUCCUACGGGAGGCAGCAGUAGGGAAUCUUCCACAAUGGACGAAAGUCUGAUGGAGCAACGCCGCGUGAGUGAAGAAGGGUUUCGGCUCGUAAAACUCUGUUGUUAAAGAAGAACAUAUCUGAGAGUAACUGUUCAGGUAUUGACGGUAUUUAACCAGAAAGCCACGGCUAACUACGUGCCAGCAGCCGCGGUAAUACGUAGGUGGCAAGCGUUGUCCGGAUUUAUUGGGCGUAAAGCGAGCGCAGGCGGUUUUUUAAGUCUGAUGUGAAAGCCUUCGGCUCAACCGAAGAAGUGCAUCGGAAACUGGGAAACUUGAGUGCAGAAGAGGACAGUGGAACUCCAUGUGUAGCGGUGAAAUGCGUAGAUAUAUGGAAGAACACCAGUGGCGAAAGCGGCUGUCUGGUCUGUAACUGACGCUGAGGCUCGAAAGUAUGGGUAGCAAACAGGAUUAGAUACCCUGGUAGUCCAUACCGUAAACGAUGAAUGCUAAGUGUUGGAGGGUUUCCGCCCUUCAGUGCUGCAGCUAACGCAUUAAGCAUUCCGCCUGGGGAGUACGGCCGCAAGGCUGAAACUCAAAGGAAUUGACGGGGGCCCGCACAAGCGGUGGAGCAUGUGGUUUAAUUCGAAGCUACGCGAAGAACCUUACCAGGUCUUGACAUACUAUGCAAAUCUAAGAGAUUAGACGUUCCCUUCGGGGACAUGGAUACAGGUGGUGCAUGGUUGUCGUCAGCUCGUGUCGUGAGAUGUUGGGUUAAGUCCCGCAACGAGCGCAACCCUUAUUAUCAGUUGCCAGCAUUAAGUUGGGCACUCUGGUGAGACUGCCGGUGACAAACCGGAGGAAGGUGGGGAUGACGUCAAAUCAUCAUGCCCCUUAUGACCUGGGCUACACACGUGCUACAAUGGAUGGUACAACGAGUUGCGAACUCGCGAGAGUAAGCUAAUCUCUUAAAGCCAUUCUCAGUUCGGAUUGUAGGCUGCAACUCGCCUACAUGAAGUCGGAAUCGCUAGUAAUCGCGGAUCAGCAUGCCGCGGUGAAUACGUUCCCGGGCCUUGUACACACCGCCCGUCACACCAUGAGAGUUUGUAACACCCAAAGUCGGUGGGGUAACCUUUUAGGAACCAGCCGCCUAAGGUGGGACAGAUGAUUAGGGUGAAG